CCCUUAGAUGUUCUGGGCUGCACGCGCGCUACACUGAUGCGCUCAACGAGUUUACGACCUUGCCCGGAAGGGUUGGGUAAUCUUUUUAAAACGCAUCGUGAUGGGGAUAGAUUAUUGCAAUUAUUAAUCUUUAACGAGGAAUUCCCAGUAAGCGCAAGUCAUCAGCUUGCGUUGAUUACGUCCCUGCCCUUUGUACACACCGCCCGUCGCUACUACCGAUUGAAUGGUUUAGUGAGAUCCUUGGAUCGGCCCUGUCGCGGCUGGCAACGGCCGCGUCGGCGCGUCGAGAAGACGAUCAAACUUGAUCAUUUAGAGGAAGUAAAAGUCGUAACA
rnacentral:rRNA from 1 species